UACAGAGGGUGCGAGCGUUAAUCGGAAUUACUGGGCGUAAAGCGUGCGUAGACGGUUAUUUAAGUCGGAUGUGAAAGCCCCGGGCUCAACCUGGGAAUUGCAUUCGAGACUGAAUAGCUAGGGUGCGGUAGAGGGAAGCGGAAUUUCCGGUGUAGCGGUGAAAUGCGUAGAUAUCGGAAGGAACAUCAGUGGCGAAAGCGGCUUCCUGGACCAGCACCGACGUUCAGGCACGAAAGCGUGGGAGCAACAGG
rnacentral:rRNA from 1 species